rnacentral:pre_miRNA from 2 species
AUAUAUGUGAUGCAGCCAAGGAUGACUUGCCGGCGGCUACUACUUCUCUUGUUUAUAGGUACAUAAAAUUUUCAUCAAAUGUGACAACUUUGUUUCUACCCAUGCUCUGCAAUUUUAGCAAGCAAGAGAAACAAGGAGCCUUCUGUUAUGCACACUGAAAUUAACUAGAAGAAUGAAAACACUGAUUUAAUUUGUUUUGCGAUUGAGUGAGAUCCAAUUCCAGAUGAUCCAAAAGUUUAUGUGUGUGGUAGAGAUAAUUGGCAAGUUGUCCAUGGCUACAUGUCUAUCUCA